rnacentral:rRNA from 1 species
UACGAAGGGGGCUAGCGUUGCUCGGAAUCACUGGGCGUAAAGGGUGCGUAGGCGGGUCUUUAAGUCAGGGGUGAAAUCCUGGAGCUCAACUCCAGAACUGCCUUGAUACUGAGGAUCUUGAGUUCGGGAGAGGUGAGUGGAACUGCGAGUGUAGAGGUGAAAUUCGUAGAUAUUCGCAAGAACACCAGUGGCGAAGGCGGCUCACUGGCCACGUAUUGACGC